UUGGGGUGCUGGCAGGCACUGUAAGGCCAGGACAGAGGGCUCUGAAGCUUUCUGUGUCAGCUUUCUCCCUGGCCAGCUCUGUAGGUGGGGCCUCUGCAUCGCUGGUGCUGGCUCCUCUUGGCUCCUGUCUUCCCUCUGGGCCAGAUCCUGGGAACGAAAAGCACUUUGGGCCCAGGCUUGAGAGGGAAUCCCCAAGCCAGGGCCCUUCCCCUAGAAGAGCCUGGAGACCCCAGUGACUAGUCCUUGCCUGAUUGCUGAAUUUACUAAACCUCUUUUAUGUGGUGUAAGAGGUGCUCCAGCAAUGAUCCCUUUUCCCAUUUGGCUGCAGGAGGCAGCCCCACUUCAUCCCGCAGCCUCCUCCCUGGCAAGCUCCAUUCCUGCUGUCCCAACCUGAGAGGGUCCUGGUCCAGAGUCCCCAGAGCUAGUGGUAGUAGGGUUCAGCUCUUUUAAGUGACCUAAGAGAGAGGGAUCAAUGUUGAGAGAGCACUCCCUGAUCAUGUCCCAGCUUCUCACACACAUUCCCCCCUGAACUGUAAUCUGGAAGCCUAAGCGGCUCCCAGUGCAUGAAGGACCAUGGAGCCCUGAGAGUGCUGCUUGAACUUCAUGGCUGUCACAGUUUAUUAUUCCACGUUUAUUCCCAUCACCUGCCUUGCAUCUGCUUGUCAGGUGUGUCUGCCAACAGCCAACUCCAUCUCCCUCAUCCUCCCAGCCAAGGCUGGCCACUAUGCAAUGCCUGGGAGUGAGAAAGGCCCGUUUGCUGGGGCUCCCUCUGCAUAAGGAUAUCCCCAUUUUGUCCUGGUGUGUGU
rnacentral:lncRNA from 1 species